UCUCCUCAAACUGCAUCAAAACUGAAACAGAGUAGAUUUGCUUUUGCAUUAAAGUUAAAUUUUAAAGAAAAGCAUGCAUGGAACCCUAGCUCUGACAAAUUAUAAAAUAAAGAUGAUGUUGACAUUUUAUUAUUAGAAGUUUGAGAAAAAAGAGAUGAAAAUAAAGACCACUUAAAUUGAAUAUUUCAAUAGAAAACUGCAACAUAUUGAGGCAGACUACUGGG
rnacentral:lncRNA from 1 species